rnacentral:misc_RNA from 1 species
GUUUGUAACACCCAAAGCCGGUGGGGUACCUUUAGGAGCUAGCCGUCUAGGUGGGACAGAUGAUUGGGGUGAAGUCGUAACAAGGUAGCCGUAGGAGAACCUGCGGCUGGAUCACCUCCUUUCUAAGGAAUAAACGGAAACCCACACUAUGUCAAAGUUUUGUUUAGUUUUGAGAGGUUUACUCUCAAUUUUGUGUCUUUGAAAACUGAAUAAUAUCUAUAAUUUCUAAUUUUAAUUGUUAAUCAUAAUUAAACCGAGAGAAAACCGCGUAAUUUAAAGAGUUAUAAAACAAGAUUAGUUCAAAGAUUAAUCGCUAAACUCAAUUAAUCACUUUACCGUAGUGAAGAUAGGUUAAGUUAGGAAGGGCGCAUGGUGAAUGCCUUGGUACUAGGAGCCGAUGAAGGACGGACUAACACCGAUAUGCCUCGGGGAGCUGUAAGUAAGCUUUGAUCCGGGGAUUUCCAAUGGGGCAACCCAAUAGUUUAAUCGACUUAUCCGCAUCUGAAUUCAUAGGAUGUGUGAAGGUAA